GAUAUCUAAACCUCCGGCAGAACCUGCAACAAUCACCAUCCAGUAUACCAUCUCCGAUUGGCAAGUAAAUAUUUUACAACCAUUUUUCUAACUCUCGGGCAUAUCCCUUAGAACCUCAUUUUAUCUCUAUGUAUGUUACACCUAUUGUAAAUAUUAGUAAUCCUCUCAAUGCUUCACUUAGGACGGAUGAUGUAUGCUCAUAAAUGGUUAUACUAGAUAACCUGCUCACAUAUUCAAAAUUGUGACAGUUCCAGAGUUUAUGACUUGUAGAUCGACACAUUUUUAUUUGCUAUUAAUUUUAAUGUCUAACAAUUCUGUUAUCACCCAGUUUUAGAAUUUUAUACUGUCAUGAUACAGUGGUGUGUUGCCUUGGUAGCAAAUUCACGAAAGAUUUUUGAUA
rnacentral:lncRNA from 1 species